rnacentral:lncRNA from 1 species
GUAAGUCUAAAUGUAAAGACAACUCUAUCUGUUACAUAGGGAUGAUAACUCAACAAUAGAACAGGACAAGUAAAUAACACUACGCCUGCACCGGAAUCGGAAGAUACGAAGACAAAGGUUGAAGAAGCCAUCUACAUUCUUGAAGGAAUAAGUUCACUGGAAGAAGUUCAUUAAUAUGUUCAUGCCUCAGUGAAGAAUAAAGAUUGAAGUAUUCAAGAUUGUGGAAGCAAUGAAGAUGUUGUCCAAGUACUCGAAAGAUUUCAGUGCAACCCCUGAAGCAAGAUAUUUCUAUAUAUCUUGGUUGGUUAUUUAUAAUCAACAAACUGAAGCAUAAACUAACCCGGAACCGACUGAUCAAUGUUUGCUGACAAAGACGGUACAAUGUUUAACUUCAGUGUUAGUCGCUUGUGAACCAGACCAGUGCACUAAGCGUCAGCACGUACGGAGUUUGCAAAGUAUUUAUCAAUCGAAGAAUUGAUCAAGUCAUAACAAGUCAUUUGUUCCAAAGCCAAGCCAAGCCAAAUGCCUAGCCUCUGCAAGCUGUAUCAAGUCUACUGCUCAAAUGUCAUAUGUCAAGCUUCCACAGAAAGCCAUAUCAGGAAGUGACCUAUCUUUUAUAUGUGUGCACUUAUAUAUUUGUAUAUG